rnacentral:snoRNA from 1 species
CGGAAAUGAUGAUAAAGUUAAAGUUGUUUCUCAAAACUUUCGCAGUUUCCGCCUAAGAGCUUUUGCUUUGCCAGACUUGAGAUGCUGCUUCUUCCUUCCUUGGAUACUGAGCUU